ensembl:lncRNA
CCCUGGGGCGCGCACAUUGGCUGGGACCCCCCCAGGACCCGCCCCCGCUGGGGGGCGCGAAGCAGCGCCGCCAUGUUCCCCUGGAGGGACGGUGAGGGCCGGCGGUCUCGGGACGUUUAAAGGGCAAAUUAAAGUUAUCUGGUGGCUGAGGGGAACGCGAUGUCAGAGCAUGUGCCUGCUGUAUUAAUAGCUCGCGGGAGGCACCCGAGGGGACCCAGGAAUACCUCGGGCGGCAAUAACUGUUUGUAGGGGCUGGUGGCCGGCGCUGAGGGUGCUGCAGGUGCAGGCUUUGCAUGCGUGGCCUCGAACCUCUGUGGUGCGUGCGCUGCAGGAGGGAGUCGGGCUGCAGAGCCCCCGGGGAAAAGGUGAUCAUAGAAUCAUGAAAUGGCCUGGGUUGAAAAGGACCACAAUGAUCAUCUAGUUUCACCCCCCUGCUAUAUGCAGGGUCACCAACCAGUAGACCAGGCUGCCCAGAGCCACAUCCAGCCUAGCCUUGAAUGCCUGCAGGGAUGGGGCAUCCACAGCCUCCUUGGGCAAUGUGUUCCAGUGAUGUGGCGGUGUGCACGUGUCUGUGAGCUUUUGGGGGAACUAGAAACGGGUGAGGCCUCUGUGAGACAAGGACAUGGAGCCUCCUUGUGUCUGAUGCAGCGUGAGCCUCCCACCCUUGAGGUCUUCAACAUCCCGACGUGCUCCAGAGGCUGCCUUCCCAUAGAGGAGGCAGCGUGUCCUCCUGCAGCGUGCCCUGGUUUCAACCCAGCAAGGUCAGACCCUCUGCAAGCGCUGCAGUCAGUCACCUCUGCAGGAAGCACGUGCUUAGGAAUCAAGCUCAGGUUGCCUGACUCGCACCCUGUGUGAGAGGUCAGUGAGGGCUGCAGCAAAACCUUGCCUCUCUUCAGUGUAUAGGGAAGCACUUCAGUCUCAAAUGCGGGUUAUGUGGCCUUCUUCAUGUGUUUCCUCUGGCUGCUGUCUGUACGAGCUUGUGGUUUGCUGUGGCAUGGAGUAGUUAUGUGAAAGCCAGUGCAACGAGUUGUAAGUGUAUACCAAGGAAUUUGCUUUAAAACAGUCAUCAUAUGUGGUUCUAGGAUGAUACUGUACUGAGGAAAGCUGAGGUUAAUAAGGUCAGCUUUAAUUCGGUAAGAUAGUAUCAAUAAUGGAAAUAGAAUUCAUCUUAAUGUAGGUGCUAAAAGAUUGGCUGUUCCACGAAGAGACAUUCCCUCCAGGACAGCAAAUCUCUUCUUGCUGACGUCUGUGUUAGCACAAGGCAAUGAGACUGUAAAUUUGAUCCCCAGCCUCUCUUGCUCUCUGCUGCUCUCCAGUCUGUUGAGGUAGAGGUCUUUUCUCAUGAACCUCGGGAACAGCAGCUUUAACCCUGCGCACCUGAGCCACCAUAAGCAAGAUGGAAUCUUUCCCCGGUUCUAAGAAAUGGGAAGAGAGGUCGCCUGAAGAGACCUUUUUCCCAAGCAAGAGCAGAAAGCAGGUGCAAGCUGGAAGAACAGGGGAUCCCUCAAGUUAGACUGAAAGUAAAUAUGCCUUUGACAUCUCAGGGCUUCUGCUGCUGGUUUCACAUGAACCCAUGGGAUGGCAGUGUUUGCAGUGCUGCCCAGCUGGAUGAGGUCUCCUCAGUGCGUGCAGGCAGCUGAAAUUCUUGAUUACUUGUUUUCUUCAUGAACCAUUUUCUUCUAAAACUACUGGUAGCAGAGCUAACCAAGACUCCUGAGAACAGCAUUCUUUUUUCAUCAGAAUGGCCUGAAUCAUUAAAUAUAAGCAAGAAAAUGAAUUCAUUUCUGUAAAAACGUCCUUAGUCCCAGAAUGUGUAUGCAUGAAAGGAAGAGGUCUGCCAGACAGGACUGAGAUGCUUAUGCUGAAGGCUGUAACCACACCGAUGAGAGAAGAGUGGUUGAGAUGAUCUGUAGAUGUCAGAGCUGCUUCUUGCUGCAUUGUGAACAAGAUAUCCUGAGCAAAAGGAUUUAUUUUAAAACCUGUCAGAAACAACCUAGGCAAAGCAAAUAGAGAUGUAAGGGGUAGGUACUGCAUAGAUGACUGUUGCAAAGUUGAUUUCAUGCUUUAAGUGUCCGUGUCACUGAAGAGAAUACAGGUGAGCGCAGGUGUUUCCACUGCUGUUCUGUAGCAGGCUGAAAAUGCACAGCGGACCAUUGUCAAGCUGAAUAAUUCUAUGCAGCAGUUUGUGACCCUGCCACCUUUUGUAUGGCUUGAUCUCGUCAGCCGCAGACCUUUGGGCAGUCAUGAUGAUUGGAUUGGUUGAUACACAACUGAAAGAGACUGCGGAGAUAUUAAGUAGCUUCUGCCUGUUGCCAUGGGCCUGACGGUUAGGAAGUGCUACUGAGUCUUUGUAUUCUAACAGUGGGUGAUGUAGUACCUGCCAGUGACUUAGGAGUCUAACCCAAAGCUUCAUGUUUGAACUACACGAAAGAUACCUUCAAAGGAGAUGUCUGAGACCAAUUUAAAAUAGCAAAUGGUGUCCAACCUGUUUCUGUAGUAUUUUACUGCUUCAGAACUCACUCUGGGAAAGAUGCAAUUUGAGUCCCAAUUAAAAAAAUUCCUUUGGAUUUCAACUUGCCAAGCUGAGCUGGUGUGCAGGACAUGAGAGGGGGAAAAAAUGAUGGGAAGCAGAAGUCGGGAAGUAGAUGAUGUGGCAUGCUGCCUCGGCGUGAUAGAAACAACAUCUGUGUUUCAGUCAUUGCUUGGGUAGUGCUGUUUGGGAAUGUGUCUAGUGGAGGAGCACAAGAAAAGCACUACCUACCUCUGAUUCAAAGGAAAAAUAAAAGACUUCUUAGUAACUGCUUAUAAGUAAUGAGAAAUAAAUACUGAUUACACUAACAUUUAUUAUUAUAGGCUCUUAAGUGUUGCCGUAUUGUUUGGAAUUAAUAUGUCUAGCAUGUACGGUUGUAUUAUAAGUAGGUAUGAAUGAGUAUAUGCUGUAAAAGUGUCCUAAGUAGAUCUCUCUUUACAUCCUCCCCUGUCUCCUCCACUUCUAUAACACCCUCAUUUCCAGCGAGCAGAAGAGAUCUCCUUGGCACAGCUUAGGGGAAAGCUAACCUAAAGCUGUGCACUUUCUCCUACUGGGCACUGCUCAGCAGGGGAGGCUGUUCUUUGCUUCAGCCAGUAGUAAGGAGGGUGGCAGGAGGUCUCUUACAGCAGAGGAUGUGAAGCAUGCAUUUGCAUAGGCUGCUUUUCCUUGCCUCCCCUCUGCUCUCCAGCAAGCACGGGUUUAUUUUAGCGUUGGCCUUCUGAAACAGGAUUGUUUUUCCCCUGAAUAGGUCAGGCUGGGAUAAUGCCAGGAUACAUGGCCUUCCAUAGCUGGGGUGACUCGGGAAGCCGGAGAUACCUACUAAGUAGACAGUGCCUCUAACUGCUGGGCCUGUGCCCAGUGUCAGAGGAGUAUCCUAAAAUAACCUUUGUGAUAAACGGCAGGGAGAGCCUUGGGCAAAUUGACUUUUUCUGAGGCGGGUGUCAGGCUGAAACAGGUUACAGUGCUGCCCUCUGUUGUUGGAAUUCAAAAAAACUCACACAAGGCCAUGCUGAAAUUCAGCCGAACCUUCAUAAAAGGUCUCUAGAAAAGCCCCAGGUGAAUACAUAAAGUAUUUAAUCCACUUGUUUCAUAUGGUGGUUCAGCCCAUCGGUAUGUGCCUGCAUCUCUUUGCUAGCAGUUCAGUUUGUAGAAACAGAAUACGGCUAAUAAUGCUAUUCCUUUUUUUAGCAGAUAGAGUCUUCAUGGCUGAUCUUGAGUCCCAGAAAUCAUACAUCGUGGGAUGCUUAUUUGUAUUUUAGUGCACGGGGGAAGUAUAGAGGAAGAAUUUUUUAUUGGUAAGUCAGGUUCUUGUAUCUGCUAUUUUUCUUAUCUUUACAUGGAAUUAUUGAAUUUCUCAAUAAUUUCUCAGAGCUUUUUUCCCGUAGCUGAUCUAUGAACCAGUAUGGAAGCAAGAUGAAAGUAGUCUGAUAUUUCCAUCUGAACUGGAAGGAAAUCCCAUCAAGAAGCAUUUUCUAGUCCUAAUGUAAUGCAGCCUUGCCAGACCUGGCACUUAGGUGGCUCCAAAUCCUUGCACAAAUGCAGGUAUGCCUGGCAGCUAUUGAAAGCAGACACACUGUUCAGACUCCAUUGUUGUUGAUGGUGCUCUUUUAUUUAGCUAAAGAAGCUCAAUUCUCAGCAUUGCGUAGGGAAUACAAGCGAUGACCCCCUUUCAAAGAGAAAAAACUCUCUUUCUCCCUGGUACCAAAAAAUAGAAAGUUGUAGUUGUAUUCUGCAUUCUGUCCCUGAUGGUAAUGGCACUAAAUAAAAGCAAAACUGAUCCAUAACUGUGACGCAACUGGUGUUGUGCAGUGAUAAGUAAAAGUAACAUCAGUCCUGUCGGCAACUUGACAAAUUGUUUUGCAGUGUGCAGAGGUUUGUGGUUACCUGUUUAUGUAGCCAAGUCAUUAAUAUUGAAAUGAAUCAAACCUUCUGUCAAAAUAUGUGAGAGUUAAUUAAUGAUUUUUAGAAGUGGAAGUGGUUGUAACAAUGGAGGUGUGAGGCUCAUCAUUGGCUGCCCCUGCCUUCAGGAGCUAAUAUUUUGAUUUCUGUUGAAGAAUCCUUUUUCUAACAUUUAGGCUUGCAACUUCAAAUGGCCUGUAAAGGUGAGGCCUUUUGUCUUUGUGUUCUAAGCAGUAAUCAGGCCCUAACUCUUGACCCAUCUUGUCGAAGAUACUGAACCAGUAAAAGUUCCUGUUUAACUUUUCUUUCUUCUUGGCUUGCUCUUCAGUUUUGGGACCCUUUACCUUCAUUUGCCAGAUUCAAAAAGCAGAUGAGGGAGGAGAGGCCCUAUACCGCUGGCUGGCUGAGACUCUGGUUUGUGCAGGCAAUAUUUGCUCCCCAGCCAGGAUGGCAGGGGAAUCUGGUUGACUAGAACAGUGGUCAUAAUCUUCGCACAUGCCAGGUUUUUUGUUUGAUGUGUAUUUGCCUCCACUGUGUCUACAUUAGCAACAGAAGAAAGCAGGAAGAUGAAAAUAUAUAUAUAUAUGUUUUACUCUUAGUCUCAAUAUUUGAGAGUAUUGGUUGAAAAAAAAAAAAGGGUAAAAUCUGAUUGUGCUUUGUUUUUUCCUUCUUAGAUUUCACAGGGAUGGGAGAAUCAGUACAUCAUCUGCUGUGACUGCAGUCGAAGCCAACUUGGCAAAGUUGUUUCAGUCUGAUUUCAUUCCACUCGGCCACACUCUGGUAAGUGUCUGUUUAAUCACAUGUAUUGUGUUUAAUUUAUGAACCAUUUGUGAAUGUAAACAGUUGGUGAAGCUCAAAACAAAGGAAAUUCACCUGUGAUAGAAGAAAGAGAUCCUUUUGCAAAGAUAAUACUCUUUCGCUUUCCCUUUCUUUUUUGUCUGUUUUUGUUUUGUUACUGUGAGUUGCUCUACAGAUCAUCAUCCAUUAGUGUGCACUGAGAGCACAUGGGAACAGACAAACCUUGCAGGAACAAACAACAAGCAUAGCGGUCAGUGGAGAAAUCCUCAGUCCCUGUGCACAUGAAGCUGAUGGAUCACUGACUUGAAGAGCCAGGUGGUAAUACCCCUUGAGGAAGACACUCCCUGGCAACUUGGAAACCUUGACAUCUGGCUAACCUUCAGCUGGUGGGUGUCUGGCAUUCUCCAUUCACUGCCUAAUUCUGCCCCUGAGACCAAGAAACACCGGACACCAUGGAUCACAGAGCCACUGGACCCCAUGAUGGUGCCUGUUCCCUUUGCAAAAUUCUGUGACUGCCUUGAAGCUGUGAUUUGGCACCACAAGCAAAAAAUCUGUGUGGAUAUGAUGCUAUAUAUUUAUCAAUGACAACUGUGAUCUGGAGACUAAGGGCUUUCACAAUGCAACAGUCUUUAUUCUGGAGGAGUUCAAGUCACAGAGAACUGGUUCAUAAGCAAAUGUUUAGCUUGAAAUAUGUCAGUGAAGCAUCCUAAAUUGUGAGAGAUCUCCAAUGUGUUGUUUAUAUAAAGUGAUAUUUUUGUAAACUCCAUUAAGUCUUAUGCUGUUUUUGUGCAGUGCAAUCAGACUAUUCUUUGGGGUGGAGCUGUGUACUGAGAGGGGGAAGGGAGACAAUUUUCCCUUUACCAUGUAGGGUAGGCAGGAUAUUUGAAAUAGAGCUGGGCCUUUUUGCCAAGUGAUGGUAUGUCUGGUUUAAUGUAGGUCAAUCCUUUUACUAACUUAGGGCUCAUUUGCUUUCAGUGAGUAUGAAAUUGUGCUUUCUUAGUAUUGUUUUGUCUUUUUUACAUUUGUCUGAGAAAAAGCAACAAGUUGAAGAGAAGGUGAUUAGUCAUCAGGAGUUUCAGAUGGCAAACGAGUGCAGGUAGGAAUGGUUUUCUUUAUUUAGAACCAUCUGUCAGUGGGGAGGUAGAACUUUUAUCUUCAAAAGCAAAGCACGCAGUCAGUCACUCACUUGUCACUAUGUUGGACAGGGUAGAGAGUAGGAAGAGCAAAGGCAAGAAAACCCACGGGUCAAGAUAAAAAUUUUAAUAAGGGAAGGAAAGAGGAAAUAUACAAAGCGGUGUAAAGCAAUCACUCGCCACCUCUCACUGAUGACUAGCCAGUCUCUAGAACAACAGCUACAGUGGCUACCUUGAAAGACGCUGCGCCCUACCUGUUAGUGCUGAGAAUGACAUCACGUGGGACGGGAAAUCUCUUCUGCCUGUCAGCUGUCCUGGCUGUGUCCUUUCCCAGCUUCUUGUUCCUCCAAGCCUGCUUGCUGGACUGGAGCAGGGUUUGGCGUGGAGAUUACUGAUGAAGAGUUUGAGCUGCUACUUGACAGAAUCCCCCUUGAUGAAGAUGGAAAUGUCAGAUACCCCCAGUUCAUGGCCAGGUUUGAUUCCUGGUAGACCCAAUACAAACCAUAAAGAUACAGAGUGAGCUGCAGGAGGCUCGGCACCUGAACCAUGUCCCCAAUCUCAGAGAUAAUAACAGGAGAAGAGCUUAAAGAUUUGCCCUGAGUGGAAGAAAAAGUUUCUGAGCCUAAAGGAAUAUAAUCAGUGAGGAUAAUGUGGAAACCUUUGCCCACAGUCAUAGAUGGACAAUACAGAAUUUACUGUAAGAAUGGCAAAAAAGUUCCAUUGGUAGCUACAGCCUAUGCCAGAUUUCAGAGACUGUUUGUGAUAAUAGGCAGGAGUGACAAAGAUGAAGGAUGAAUGUCAACCUUAAGUGUCAUAUUUGAGGAGCUAAGGUGAGAGGUCAGCUACAAGAGGGCCGUGUGGAAUCGUCCUAAUCCGGGAAGAGCCACUGCCUCCCUGUGUGAUCUGACACAGUGACAUAUCACUUGACCUCGGUCGCGGCAGCUGUACAGCGAGGUGGAAAAGGCGGCUGACGGACAAGCAGGGGAUGCCUUUCAGCACAGCUUCCUCGGGCAAAUCGAACUGUAUCCUGCAGGACCACUAGGAAGUCUCUGUUCCGAACAGCUUUCUGAUUCACACUUUCAUUCCCUGAGGACACCCAAGUAGGGCUGGGCUGCUGGGCGACAGAAGCUUUCUCUUUACUAUUUUAUCCAUUAACUCAGAUACAGUUGAGAAGAAUGUAUGCUAUAUGGAAGAACACGCAGAAGUUGUGAGCAACCACAUGGUCUGAAUGUUAAGGGUUCAUCCAUCUUCCUGCACAAGAAUGCCUUUAUCUGGAAAAGACAAACAUCCCAGGAGUCUGUAAGAAGUAAGAAGUAAGCUGUUGCAGCUUGAAUUUGUGAGAGGACUUCUGUGGAGCCUGAACCACCUCCCUCCAUCUCAAAGGAGACCGAGCCUUCCCUCUUUCUUAAAGGUGUGUUUGUAUUCUCUUUUCAGCAAGGCACCCUGGCAGCCUGCGUAGUAAGAUUGUAGCUCAGCAAGCUCCUGCUUGCAGCAUGUCCCAGCAGGCUGCAGAAGUACCCCUUACUCCCAAGUGGCAUAAAGAACACUGUUUUGAGAAGAGGAUCCAGGGAUGGCCAAGACAAGAGAAAUAGGAGCGAAGCUGAAGGGAACGUGGAAAGGCAGACCCACUCCAAGGCUUUUGACUUGCCACACCUUUCCGAGAGGAUGACAUCUCAGAGGCUCUGUGUCUGUCCCAGAUUGUGACUGUUUUCUUCUGAAGAGCAAACGUGAGAUUCAAAGAGCGCCUGGCAAAAGCUGCUUCUAGUACUGCAGCAGCAACAUGGGAAAUAUUUCAUGUAUGUAGAAGAUAGAGCAUCUGUGUAGGCGGUUGUUUUCUGCAACUCUCUGUGAGUUUGGGGAGAAGUUAUUAAGUACUGCUUCUCCUUCUUUCUUUAAAAAAGGACAGAGAGAGAAAGCCUGCAUUUUCUACCAUUUCCCAAGAGGCUUUUUAUCUGUUUAAACCAACUAGGGAUUUUUCACAUAUUGACAUAAGCAUUCAUUUGCUAAUUUGCUGGACAUUAAACUGCACAGCAUUCUUGAAUGAGGCUGGAAUACUUGGGUACUUAGUGCUGCUCAGACCCCGCAUCAUUCCCAGUACACAUAUGGUUUUCCUCCUCUAUCUCCUAGAUAAAAGUCACUGUUUGAUCGCCUUAAGGGAAAGAAUGAGUUAAAUGGACCAAUAUUUUAGCCUUGGCUCUAAAACUGGGCCUUUUCAGAAACUCCUCAGCACCUGCAGCAGCUAGGUCAUUUGCACAUACAUAAAUAAAUAAAUUAACAAUGAAUAAAUAAUUUAAUCCCGCCACACAAUGCCACCUUGCAGAUCUGAUCCUUUGCUCCCAGUGAAUUUGUCCAUUCCUAAUUCUUUUUGAUAAAGUCUUCAGAUACUUGCUGACUGUCAGUCUAAUUUUCUUAUUGUUUUCGCUUGAUUAGUUCUGUAUGACCUAAGGUCGCCCUUAAAAUCCACAUCUCUCGUGAAGACUCCGAAAGGCCUUCUUUUUUUUCAAAGGGAUGGAAAGUGCCUGCCAUUUCUCCGGACAAAAGCCUGGAAGGUUUUCAGUUAUUAGCCUUCUGAAGCAGCCCUUUCGCUCACCCAAGCGCAAAAAAAACUCAUUAGGGGGCACCUUUCUUUCUGCCUUCUUCAUCUGAUGCGUGUGGGGUUUACGUGUUUCAAGACUUUCAGGUCUUGGAUGGAUUUGGGCAGCCUCCCUUUUAACCCUGCCGGACUGUGGUUACGCCCUGGGCAGAGAUUGGCUGUAUCUGUGUGCACUGAACCACCUGGAGAUGCUUCGUCCUUUCAGCAGCUGUUUUACGCCCCGCUGGUCUGCUGUUCUGUUGAGCGCUUCUGCCCGAUGUACAGCACUGCCAUACCUGUGCCUGCCUCUUAGGAAAAAGAGCAACCCAAAAGUAUACUGACAGUUACAGUGACGGGAAGACUCUCUGAAGAGCCCUUAAGAAGCCACAUGUUGGCAGCUGAAUUUCAAUCCAUCCCAAAUCUCCACAGCUUCCUGCUAGAAGAGGAUGAAAUUGACCACAUGCUCUCAAAAUUCAUCUCAGUCUGAAAAGGCAGGUUAACUGCAAAUCCAUUUGGGGAAAAAAUUAUAGCAAAAAAAAAAAUAUAUAUAUAUAUAUCAAAACUGCUACAAAUUAAUGUAGAAUAUUCCUUUGAGAAGGAUAACAGCCUUUAUGUCCCCCCAGUUGCCUAUCCUUCUAACUACGUCACAUGUAUAUUUCUCCUAUUUAUGUCCCUGGUCUAUUGACUGUGGGUCUGUACUGUAUGUUGUUUUGUGGAGAGGUGGUAGAAGCCCUUUCUGAGAGCUUAAAGCAAAGCUGAAAAUAAGGCAGUUACAAACUAUGCGUAACGUAUGUUAUGUGACUGAGAAAACGAGCUGUCUGAAAAGGGGAGGCUAAGGUGCUCUAUGGAGAUUUGAGAAGGUGAAAUAUUCAAGCUGCUUUGCUGCCGGGUGCCUCCUCACAACAGAGCAGUGUUCCUUUGGCCUCACAGAAUUAGUUUAAGUCCUGCACGUGCAUGUGGGAGGGUAGAUUACUGUGCCUAGUUGUGUCAUCUUUUCUUCUUGGAGGAACAGUUCAUGCCUUCAGUACAGCAGGCAGUAGGACCUGCUCUGCAGUUGUUCUGCACCUGACUUCACUUUCACCAUCAGUGUAACUCAGUGUUUAGGACCAAGGUAGGUUACUUAUUUUCCUUACAUCUUUGCAAACACAGGGCUGUGUGUCUCAGUUAGUAAACUGAGCACCAAGAGCCAGUGAAAUAUGGAUCACUUACCUGUUUGGUAAGGUCUCUGCUGAUGCAGCUACAUCAUGCCUCCUCCUCGUGUAGCAGCUCUAGCUUCAGGGGUUUCCAGAAAGCUUUGUCUACUUGCAAGAGCUAAGGAUUUGGUCCAGAAUAUACACAAGUAGGUAAAUAGCAUGUUUGUUUGGUUGCUUUAAUAUACUGACUUUCCUGCAGGCAGUAAUUUGUAACUGACUAUAAGCAUUGGUACCCUUAGGCAACAUUUAAUUGGUUGUCAUGCAUCUUAGCCAUCUAACAGGUUUUUUGGCUUUCCACAACGAAAAAUACACUUCUGGCCUUGUUCUUUUUCCAAAUACUUUCCCUCCUCCAGACAUCAAAGGGAAUUUACAGAACUUUCAGUAAUAAAACUCCAAUAAAAGGUUGCUUUUUUCCUCUCUCUUUGGUUAAAGAAAUGAGAAGGUAAUGUAUGAAUAAAGUAUGUGAUGUAAGAAAAUUGUUAUUACAUUCUUCUAUCAAAAGAGGUUUUACGGUGGAACGUGUGGGACUGUGAGAUCCUUGGAACUUUCCAAUAUACAUUUGUGUUGUAUGUAAUGUAUAUUUUUUCAGGUUCUCCAAAGGCUUGUGAAAAUGUGUGAUCUGUGCUUGAUGAAUCUCAUUGAUCCCUGUUAGAUUUUCUCUUUCUGAAAGUGAAGUCGUGUGAGGUUUGUUCUGUAGGUUUUACUGUUCCUUCUACAGACCCCAGUCCUGAAAGCCCAGCAGUGGAUUUGGUAGUAAGGGCAAAUUGUUUCCGUCCUAUAUCCUUUGGCAGCAAAAUUCUGCACCCUAAUGUUCACUCGCAGCUAUCGUGGCAUCACUGUUGUAAGUCAGUAAGGUUAUACAGGUGGACAUUUUAGUUUGGGGGGGAAAAAUUAACAAAAAGAUCAA